UUGACCUCGGAUCAGGUAGGGAUACCCGCUGAACUUAAGCAUAUCAAUAAGCGGAGGAAAAGAAACCAACAGGGAUUGCCCCAGUAACGGCGAGUGAAGCGGCAAGAGCUCAAAUUUGAAAGCUGGCUCCUUCGGGGUCCGCAUUGUAAUUUGCAGAGGAUGCUUCGGGAGCGGCCCCCAUCUAAGUGCCCUGGAACGGGCUGUCAUAGAGGGUGAGAAUCCCGUCUGGGAUGGGGUGCCCGCGCCCGUGUGAAGCUCCUUCGACGAGUCGAGUUGUUUGGGAAUGCAGCUCUAAAUGGGUGGUAAAUUUCAUCUAAAGCUAAAUAUUGGCCGGAGACCGAUAGCGCACAAGUAGAGUGAUCGAAAGAUGAAAAGCACUUUGAAAAGAGAGUUAAAAAGCACGUGAAAUUGUUGAAAGGGAAGCGUUUGCGACCAGACUCGCCUACGGGGUUCAGCCUGCCUUCGGGCAGGUGUACUUCCCCGUGGGCGGGCCAGCGUCGGUUUGGGCGGCCGGUCAAAGGCCCUCGGAAUGUAACGCCUCUCGGGGCGUCUUAUAGCCGAGGGUGCCAUGCGGCCUGCCCGGACCGAGGAACGCGCUUCGGCUCGGACGC
rnacentral:rRNA from 1 species